GCGGGCCGCGGCCGGGACGGGAAGCCGGGUCCUCGUCCGCGCCGGCCUCGGGGCCGGGACUGGGCGGGGAGGCCGCCCCGGGCUGAGGCCUCGCCCCUGCACCGCGCGCGCUGCGGAGGGCCCGGUUCUGUUUGCCGUUGAGAGUCCCCAGGGCCCCGCCGCCCCCACUUCUUCGUUCCUAAGUCUUCAGCGCUCCCCCCACCGCCUCGUCUCUCGUGUUUACCUCUCCUCCCCCGCCCCCCCUCCCCUUUCCACAUUCCACCUCGGCCGCUUCCUCCCCGGGCCGGGGCUCUCCUUCCGACCUCUGCUUUUCUGCUCCAAGAAGAAGGCGGGCCAGUUUCGCAACGCAGAAGGGGAAAAGAAACCGAUUACACACAGCUGCCACCCGUCGCCCUUGUCAAACAUCGGGUUCCCUCCCGCACAUGAUCUCAUUUAAUCCUCAAAUCAUCCUUGAACAGGUACGUCCUCGUGUACUGCCCUCCUUUGGAGAGGCUGUACGUGGUGGCGGCUAGAGUUUGGACUCUGGAACCUGCCUUAGCGUCUCGGCUCCGCAGUUUACCAGCCGCGUGACCUGGGGAAAGUCCAACCUCUCUGUGCCUCAGUUGCUCAUCUGUAGUUACUUCCUCCAGGAGUUGUUGUAAAGAUUAAAUGAACAAUGACACAGUAGGCCUCACGCCCAGUGCCCAGCAUGUGAACCCACUGUGGGACUUAAACGCACAAUCCUGAGAUCCAGACCUGAGCUGACGUGGAGUUAGUCGCCUAACUGACUGAGCCACCCAGGUGCGCUAAACGGUAACAUGACAAGCAGGAAUAUGUAUUGCCUGUCCUUCUGUCUUUUCGCGAUAGGGUGCUAACACAAUGAGGUGUGUUCUUUUUACUCUGCCACGGCCCAUUCAUUCGCUAGGAUUGACAACCUGGUGUGCGUCGAUCUUAACCAUAAAUCAGUUUCUGAUGGUGUCUUGGAUGUGCACUGUGCCUUGUAGACUCAAGCUAACGUUACUGCUUCUGUUGCACCCUCGUUGAAACGUCUGUGAAGAAGCACUAGCAGGUUAAGGAUCCCCAACUUUGGAAAAGGAACGUGAUGUGAAACUAGAAUUCUCUGUUAAAAAGCCUUGUGGAAUUUUGCAAAUUACAGAAGUAGUACAUGCCUGUCAGAAGCUGGGACAAACAGUACAGAAGUGUAUUAAAGAGAGUUAGGCGCCCCCUGCACAUGCUUCGAGGCGCUCAGGGGGGCCAAGGCCGACUGCCCCCAAGAUGUGCCACUUUGGUCACGCAGAUCAUGCCGAGCUGAAAACAAUCCAGGCCCAGAAGACGCAGGGAGAAAUUUUGACCUUGCCCCCAAAACUGCCUCAAAGAAAUGAGAUUGGGGACGUGCUCCGGGAAGGGAGCCAUUGCCAUACUUACCUACAUUAUAAUGUGAAGUAGGUAUGGUGGAGAGCGAGGAAUUCAGCAAAGUCCGGUUGAUCAAAAUCUUCCCUGUGUCCCAUUGUUUCUGGAUGACCCAGUCAACAUUUAUUUACCACGUUCGCUCUUUUUCAUUCUUCCUGUGAGCAUUCCUUCCCUUUGUAGUCUCAGACUCCUUCCUCCUCCUUAGUUCAGGGUGACUUCGCACUGCCUGGCUGUCUUUGGAAUCUUACGCGUGUGUGGAUUCCCUAUGUCCCUGAAAUUAAAUUUGAUUUUCUCCUGUUAA